AUAGUAUGGUGUCCAGCAUCAGGGACAAGUUUGUAUACCUGUGUGUGGAUGGCGUUCAGCACCAAGGACAGGAGCAUUUGUCU
rnacentral:pre_miRNA from 1 species